rnacentral:rRNA from 1 species
GACGAAGGGGGCUAGCGUUGUUCGGAAUUACUGGGCGUAAAGCGCGUGUAGGCGGUUUGCCGAGUCGGGUGUGAAAGCCUUGGGCUUAACCCAAGAAAUGCACUCGGUACUGGCAGACUAGAGGACCGGAGAGGAUAGUGGAAUUCCCAGUGUAGUGGUGAAAUACGUAGAGAUUGGGAAGAACACCAGUGGCGAAGGCGGCUAUCUGGACGGUUUCUGACGCUAAGACGCGAAAGCGUGGGGAGCAAACAGG